AACCCAGACUUGCUGGUCUGAUCCAUGCACAAGGCGCGGCUACGAGGCCACUGUGCCCGGGCAGGGAAGUCGGUGCGGUUGGCCAGCUCCGGGAUGACCCGCCGGGACCCGCUCACAAAUAAGGUGGCCCUGGUAACGGCCUCCACCGACUGGAUCGGCUUCGCCGUCGCCCAGCGUCUGGCCCAAGACGGGGCCCACGUGGUAGUCAGCCGCCGGAAGCAGCAGAAUGUGGACCAGGCAGUGGCCACGCUGCAGGGGGAGGGGCUGAGCAUGACGGGCACUGUGUGCCAUGUGGGGAAGAUGAAGGACUGGGAGCGGCUGGUGGCCACAGUGAGCUGCAGGGAAAUGGGCACAGAGCCAGGAGGUGGAAAAGGGAGCCAGCCUGAGCCUCCUUCCCUGCUUUCCUGGACAGCAUUGGUGAGAUCCAACGCAGUGAUGUUAACUAAAACAUAACAGUGUGUUCU
ensembl:lncRNA novel transcript